GGAGGAAGGCGGGGACGACGUCAAGUCAUCAUGGCCCUUACGGCCAGGGCUACACACGUGCUACAAUGGUCGGUACAAAGGGUUGCUACACAGCGAUGUGAUGCUAAUCUCAAAAAGCCGAUCGUAGUCCGGAUUGGAGUCUGCAACUCGACUCCAUGAAGUCGGAAUCGCUAGUAAUCGCGGAUCAGAAUGCCGCGGUGAAUACGUUCCCGGGCCUUGUACACACCGCCCGU
rnacentral:rRNA from 1 species